CUCAAGGAUCUUCUAAGAUCCACAAAAAUCCUCAUGAGAUCUAUA
rfam:Picea glauca, whole genome shotgun sequence.